UUUGAAAUCCCUAGGCUUCUGCCAU
rnacentral:piRNA from 1 species